AUGGCUUUAGGGACGGACCUCUGUCCAAACAGUUACUGGCAAUAUUUCACCUGGUGCCACACUUUCCUUCCCUAUGGGAAGAAAUACUACACUGUUGGCCUGACGGCCGUUUGCUGGGCUAUCUGGUUGGCUAGAAAUCGAGCCACCUUUGAGAAGAAACAGAUUAAGACACCGUUUGAGAUUGUGUUUUCCGUGUGCUCCUUUUUGCUAUAUUGGGCAGGUCUUCAGCAAGGUGAUGAAGUCAAGGAGCUGCGCAGUGGGGCAGCGAUGGUCAGGUCAAGCACUAUGAGCAUGAUGAAGAUGUGCGAGACGGCGAGGAGACCGAUCGAGGGAGAAUGA
rnacentral:rRNA from 1 species